AAUGAACGCUGGCGGCAGGCCUAACACAUGCAAGUCGAACGGAUCCUUCGGGAUUAGUGGCGGACGGGUGAGUAACGCGUGGGAACAUACCCAAAGGUACGGAAUAGCCUCGGGAAACUGGGAGUAAUACCGUAUGUGCUCGAAAGAGGAAAGAUUUAUCGCCUUUGGAUUGGCCCGCGUUGGAUUAGGUAGUUGGUGGGGUAAUGGCCUACCAAGCCGACGAUCCAUAGCUGGUUUGAGAGGAUGAUCAGCCACACUGGGACUGAGAACACGGCCCAGACUCCUACGGGAGGCAGCAGUGGGGAAUCUUAGACAAUGGGGGAAACCCUGAUCUAGCCAUGCCGCGUGAUCGAUGAAGGCCUUAGGGUUGUAAAGAUCUUUCAGGUGGGAAGAUAAUGACUGUACCACCAGAAGAAGCCCCGGCUAACUAUGUGCCAGCAGCCGCCGUAAGAC
rnacentral:rRNA from 1 species